UGAACUCUUUUAAAAUUUAUGUAAUUAUCGAGAGUUGGAUUUUGUUUAAACCUAAGGUAAGCCGCUUUACUAUCAUUGACAGCUGUCGCACACCUGUUAUUCCACCAAGGUACUGCAAUAUGUUUGUGCCUCUUUGAAGUAUUUGCACCGCUAUUUGAUAAGUUCCUACGUGGAACGGAACGUUCCACAGCUGUCAAAAUAAUUUUACAGAACCUAUUGUAAUUGUUUAAGGGUUCAUUGACAUCAUACUCGAAAUCCAAAAGUAAUUGAUUAACAGUUUCAGAAUAAAGAUCCCAAUUAACGAGACGUAGGUUUAAACGAUUUAACAAAAGUUUAUUAACUUCAUCUAUAGGAGCAUGUUGUUCACCUGACGGAGUUGAUGAAGAGUUCUUUGUGUUUAUCUUAGUAAAAGUCGGCAGAUGCUGCAACGCUCAGAAUUCUUACAGAAUUUAGCUAAAUGUCCAUACCUCAAGCACCAGUAGCAUUGUUUAACUGGUGGUAUAUAUGGAGUGACAUUGUGGCGCCAACCUCCAAUAUCCAGAUAUUCAGGUAAUACAGAUGCAGCAAAAGUAAUUGUCACGGUUAGAGUUGGCUGUAACACAUAUCCAUGAGUCAAGGUAUUUUUUCUUAAAAUUCUUUUAAUAGCAAUAAUUUUCUUAGAACUCGAUAUCAUAGUAUAUAUUUUUUUAUUAGAUAUAUUUGUAGGUACAUUUCUAAUAACGCCUGUAACUUCUGUUGAAGAAGCAGGAAUACUGGCCUUAAAAUGGUAGUCAUUUAAAAAAGUUUUAUUAUUUAAAAAAGCAUUGGCUAAGUCUGGCUUUUGAAAGUAUACUCCGAUUUUGAAUUUAUUUAUAGAUCUAAGAUAAGUUACCCCUUUAUUAAAUCAUUUUAAACAGGAGGAGAGUGAGAGCAAGUCUCUGGAUCCAAUGGUUUUCUGACUAUCUGAGGAUUCUACAAAGACAACAAAUUCUGUCCCAGGGGAUUCCUCGGGAUAUCUUCUAAUAUAAUCUGUGACGUAGUAAGGUUUAUACUUAUCGGCCUUAUCAAUUUCAGAUUCUGAGUCAGUAGAAGUAUCUUCCGAAUAUAUAUCCUUGUCAUUACAAGGUUCAUGGUCUACAUCACCUGAAUCGUCAUCUUUUUUUUCCUUUUUCUACAACUGCGCUUCCCCAUGAAUGCUAAUUAUAUUACUGUCGCUGAAUUUAGUGAAAAUAUAAUAUUUUAUUCAAUAAUAAGAAUUGAUAGAGAUAGUUUUAAUAAAUUAAUAAAAAAAAUUUAAAAAA